rnacentral:lncRNA from 1 species
UCCUAGUGGUCCGGGUGAAUGGUCCUAUUUAAUUUAGCUGUCUUGAAAAGGUUCCCUGCGAUCACCCUGUCAUGAUGAAGCUCACACUAACCGCUCUCACUGCUCUGUCGAUUUUUGCUGCUCUGGUAUCAAUGGCGCACGGCCAGCAGAGUGGAGAGAGCAUGGGAAGAUGACGCGGAAGAGGCAGGGGAAGAGGACGCGGCCACGGCCACGGCAGCGGAGAGACUACAACGAUGAGUCCCUACUCGUGUUUCACGAGAGAUGAUGGUACCUGCGAUGAUGAUGGUGAAAACACGUGCCCCUGCCCGACUGGGUUCUACCGAUGUGCCGGCCGCUGCUAUACUGCUGUCACCGAAGCGCUCUUCUACGAGGCGGCAGCGGAGAGGUGCGCCAGCCUCGGCGCCCAUCUGGCCACGCCCAGGAGCGCAGAGGAGAACAACUGCACUGCCAUUCCGGCGCUGACGGUGCCGAACUUCUUCUGGAUCGGUUUCCGCGGCAACUCGAGCGAGGGUGCAUAUCUGGGCGAAGAUGGAUGCGGGCCAGUUGGUAAUUUCUCCAGCUGGCCGGCCGGCGUAGAGCCUAAUCCCGUUGAUAACUGGUGUGUGCAUAUUGGCAUCGUCCUUGACGAAAUCAUUUGGGCAGAACUCCAAUGUGACAGCGGGCUGUUCCCUGCCGUCUGCCAGCUAGACGGCUGCUACCGCCCCGACUGUCUCUAAAUGUGCCAUAAAUGCCGAUCCUACCGACCCAACUAACACCAAACAAGCGCCGGAAUACUGAUUCUUGUAUCUUGAUCAGCUUGAUCCUGGAUAACCGAUUUGAUCCCGUGAGUCUAUAGUCGAUGGACCCUAUACCCUAGUGCAUAAAAAAAAAACAUAAAACGGUGCUCUUAGCGAAAAUUCAACUGCAUUCUAUUCUUUAAAG